AUUGCAUGGAGUGGGCACUUACGUAUGAGGUCUUUCAAUCUUUUCCAUGUCUCAUAAAAUAUUUCUCUAUCCAAUUGGGGAAAGCUAGUGAUGUUUUUUUUGAUUU